CCAAUAGCGUAUAUUAAAGUUGUUGCAGUUAAAAAGCUCGUAGUUGAAUUUCGGGAUCAAGGAAUCGGUCAUGCCUCGGUAUGUACUGGUUUUAUUGGUUCUCACCUUCUAAAGAGCCAUGAUGUCAUUCAUUUGAUGUUAUGGGGAAUUAGGACUGUUACCUUGAAAAAAUUAGAGUGUUUAAAGCAAGCUUACGCUUGAAUACAUUAGCAUGGAAUAAUGAAAUAGGACAUCCGAUUCUAUUUUGUUGGUUUCUAGGAUCGAUGUAAUGAUUAAUAGGGAUAGUUGGGGGCAUUAGUAUUCAAUUGUCAGAGGUGAAAUUCUUGGAUUUAUUGAAGACUAACUACUGCGAAAGCAUUUGCCAAGGAUGUUUUCAUUAAUCAAGAACGAAAGUUAGGGGAUCGAAGACGAUCAGAUACCGUCGUAGUCUUAACCAUAAACUAUGCCGACUAGGGAUCGGAUGAUGUUUAUUUUUUAGUGACUCAUUCGGCACCUUACG
rnacentral:rRNA from 1 species